CCUACGGGCGGCAGCAGUGGGGAAUAUUGGGCAAUGGGCGCAAGCCUGGCCCAGCAACGCCGCGUGAAGGAAGAAGGCUUUCGGGUUGUAAACCUCUUUUCUCAGGGACGAAGCAAGUGACGGUACCUGAGGAAUAAGCCACGGCUAACUACGUGCCAGCAGCCGCGUUAAUACGUAGGUGGCAAGCGUUAUCCGGAUUUACUGGGUGUAAAGGGCGUGUAGGCGGGACUGCAAGUCAGAUGUGAAAACCACGGGCUCAACCUGUGGCCUGCAUUUGAAACCGUAGUUCUUGAGUGCUGGAGAGGCAGGCGGAAUUCCUGGUGUAGCGGUGAAAUGCGUAGAUAUUAGGAGGAACACCAGUGGCGAAGGCGGUCUGCUGGACAGCAACUGACGCUGAGGCGCGAAAGCGUGGGGAGCAAACAGGAUUAGAUACCCGGGUAGUC
rnacentral:rRNA from 1 species